ACGCUCGACACCUACGGACAGCAGUGAGGAAUAUUGGUCAAUGGACGCAAGUCUGAACCAGCCAUGCCGCGUGCAGGAUGACGGCUCUAUGAGUUGUAAACUGCUUUUGUACGAGGGUAAACGCAGAUACGUGUAUCUGUCUGAAAGUAUCGUACGAAUAAGGAUCGGCUAACUCCGUGCCAACAGCCGCGGUAAUCUGAGCGGGCUGGCAAGGC
rnacentral:rRNA from 1 species